AGCUCACAUGCCCCCUUCCAGGCUAGGAGCAUUUUUCAGUUCAGAGCGGCAGUUGAGCCAGAAUUGGUUUGACGUAAUACAUGUGCAAAAAUGCGGCAACACAGGAGUUGAAGAAAUCUCUGAAACUGAAAAUUGUUACUGCAGCAGAAACCACGUCUGGAUUGGAGUAGGACCAGUACCAAGAUUGUCCACCGAUUAGAAGACCUCCUCCUUCUGCCACAAACUGUUGGAUUUUUUCUGUUUCUCCAUCAUUCCAAGAAGGACAGCAGUAAACACUAAGACCUGGAACCAAGUCAGAUACUAUGCAAGGAAAAUGAAACAGAGCAUUUUCUGGUUUGUGUUCGUAUGCCCAGUGCCAGGCUCGAGCUCCAAUAAGAAGACCUCCUCCUUCUUUCAAAAAAGAUACAAUUUCCACUGCCUGACUAUCAUCAUAUCCAGUUGUACAAA